rnacentral:rRNA from 1 species
CGGACGGGUGAGUAAUGUAUGGGGAACUGCCCGAUGGAGGGGGAUAACUACUGGAAACGGUAGCUAAUACCGCAUAACGUCGCAAGACCAAAGAGGGGGACCUUCGGGCCUCUUGCCAUCGGAUGUGCCCAGAUGGGAUUAGCUAGUAGGUGGGGUAAUGGCUCACCUAGGCGACGAUCCCUAGCUGGUCUGAGAGGAUGACCAGCCACACUGGAACUGAGACACGGUCCAG